CACAGGUCAACCAGUAUCAAGGUAAUAUAUUAUAUACCCUACCCACAGGUCAACCAGUAUCAAGGUAAUAUAUUAUAUACCCUACCCACAGGUCAACCAGUAUCAAGGUAAUAUAUUAUAUACCCUACCCACAGGUCAACCAGUAUCAAGGUAAUAUAUUAUAUACCCUACCCACAGGUCAACCAGUAUCAAGGUAAUAUAUUAUAUACCCUACCCACAGGUCAACCAGUAUCAAGGUAAUAUAUUAUAUAC